UUAGGCUCUGCGGAGCGUAUAACACCAAGGUCGGAUUGAAGAAUAUGGUGGUGGACUUAGUAAAGGCCGUUCAAGCGGGAGCCAUUGAAUCAGAUUGUGGCCCGCCAUCACAUCCUGGAACUGGAUUUGGGCAGUUCUGCAAUUUCAACUUAAAUGGCCGUACAUCAAGGCCAUUAAGGACAGUCAUGGCAACUUGUGGGCAUCUCCCCAAGACCGGAAUGGCUGCGCGAGUAUUAUUCGUCAGAAGUCUUUCUUGAGGCGCAUCAAAUGUGCAAAGAUGGCGUAUCUAAGCAGCCAGUGCUUCAGCGAAAUUAAUCAACCGACGAACGCAUCCUUGCUAUUCUCCGGGAACCAUCUUACUGUAUAAGGCAGUAAACAUUCUUUCACUACUUCUUCGGCGUGCAAACAUCUCUUCUGAAAAGCUCAGUGUUCUAAGGAAAGUGCGGAGAAUAAAUUAACCAUUGUCGGUGUAUCUCUCA
rnacentral:misc_RNA from 1 species